rnacentral:tRNA from 1 species
AGAGGAUUCGUCUAGUAGUUAAGACAUUAACUUUCAAAGUUAAAAACUAAGGUGCAAUUCCUUAAUUCUCUG